UACAGAGGGUGCAAGCGUUGUUCGGAAUUACUGGGCGUAAAGCGCGUGUAGGCGGCGUCGUUAGUCGGAUGUGAAAGCCCUCGGCUCAACCGAGGAAGUGCAUCCGAUACUGCGAUGCUUGAGUGUUGGAGGGGGUGGCGGAAUUCCCGGUGUAGAGGUGAAAUUCGUAGAUAUCGGGAGGAACACCUGUGGCGAAGGCGGCCACCUGGACAAGCAACUGACGCUGAGACGCGAAAGCGUGGGUAGCAAACAGGAUUAGAUACCCGUGGUAAGUCCGAGAACCCAAGUCUCGUCGCUAACCGUAACUCACCGACCUGCCC
rnacentral:rRNA from 1 species